rnacentral:rRNA from 1 species
AUUGAACGCUGGCGGCAGGCCUAACACAUGCAAGUCGAGCGGAGCGGCGGACGGGUGAGUAAUGCCUAGGAAUCUGCCUGGUAGUGGGGGAUAACGUCCGGAAACGGGCGCUAAUACCGCAUACUAUCAGAUGAGCCUAGGUCGGAGUAGCUAGUUGGUGGGGUAAAGGCCUACCAAGGCGACGUUCCGUAACUGGUCUGAGAGGAGGAUCCGUCACCCUGGAACUGGUACACGGUCCAGACUCCAACGGGAGGCAGCAGUGGGGAAUAUUGGACAAUGGGGGAAAGCCGGAUCCAGCCAUGCCGCGUGUGGGAAGAGGGUCUUCGGAUUGUAAAGCAGUUUAAGUUGGGAGGCGGUACCAACAGAGUAAGCACCGGCUAACUUCGUGCCAGCAGCCGCGGUAAUAC